rnacentral:misc_RNA from 1 species
CCAUCCAUAUCUUAUCAUUUGGCAGGCACAAAGAAGAUUCAACAAGACCUUGCGAAGCCUAAUGUGCUUGAGAGAUUUCUUGAGGAUAAGGAGGACAUCACCAAGUUGCGGAAAUGCUUUGCUGGCUUGUGGGGGUUUGGUGACACCGAGAUUUUCAAAAGAGACCUGAGCUGUUUGUGAUGAAGCCCCAAAGAGAAGGCGGAGGGAACAAUGUCUAUGGUGACGAUGUGAAGGAAAACCUUCUAAGAUUGCAGAGGGAAGGAACUGAAGAGGAUGCUGCUUACAUCCUCAUGCAACGAAUUUUUCCAACUGUUUCCCCCACAUUUUUGGUGCUUAAUGGCAUUUCUCAUAAAGAUCAUGCAGUAUCAGAGCUUGGAGUAUGCGGCGCUUACUUAAGCAACAAGGACAAAGUUAUUAUAAAUGACCAGUGUGGACACUUGAUGCGGACAAAGGUGUCAUCAUCAAAUGAAGGUGG